GAGCACAUGGGAAUCGGAUUCCGGCACGCAAAUCUCUCCCCCUUUUCGCCUCCGCGCGAUGGCUUCCUCGACGCCGCAGCCACCGCCGUCCGCGGCGGUCUUUGCCGUCAACGGCCAGCGCUUCGAGCUCCGCGGUGGCGACGACCCGGGCGCCACCCUCCUCGACUUCAUCCGCACCCGCACCCGCUUCACCGGGCCCAAGCUCGGCUGCGGCGAAGGUGGGUGCGGCGCGUGUGUAGUGCUGCUCUCCACGUACGACGCGGCGGCCGACCAGGUCUCGCACGCCGCCGUGAGCUCGUGCCUGACCCUUGUGCACGGGCUUCACCACUGCGCGGUCACCACCACCGAGGGGCUCGGGAACAGCCGCGACGGGCUCCACGCCGUGCACGCGCGAUUCGCGGGCUUCCACGCCUCGCAGUGCGGCUUCUGCACGCCCGGCAUGUGCAUGUCCCUCGUCGCCGCGCUAGCCGGCGCAGAGGGCAAGGGGUCCGGUCCGCCUCCGCGGGAGGGGUUCUCGAGGCUCACGUCGGCUGACGCGGAGCGCGCCGUCGUGGGUAACCUGUGCCGCUGCACGGGUUACCGCCCCAUUGCCGACGCCUGCAAGAGCUUCGCGGCAGACGUCGAUUUGGAGGACCUUGGUCUCAACUCCUUCUGGAAAAAGGGAGACGCUCAUGUCGACAAAUUGCCACCGUACAAGGAGGGGAGCAUUGGUGCUUUCCCAGAAUUUCUCAAGGCUGAGAUCAGAGCCUCUCUGAGGAUUGAUAAGUGUAUGUCGGCUAGGGUAAUGGCGGGAAGCGAGAGCUCUUGGCAUCGACCUCGGAGUGUGGAGGAGUACUACAGGCUGAUAGCUUCUGAUUCGUUCGAUGGAAGUGGCACAAAGGUGGUCGUAGGCAACACCUCUUCUGGUGUUUACAGGGAGGCAGAGGUGUAUGAUAGGUACAUUGACCUGAGAGACAUCCCGGAGUUGAAUUCAGUAUCCAAGGAUUCCGAGGGUGUUCAAAUUGGAGCUGCAACAUCGAUCUCUCUGGUUAUUGAGAUUUUAAGACGAGAAGGUGAUGACUGCAAGGAUGUCAUCUUUGGUAAGAUUGCUGAUCACAUGGAAAAGGUGUCCUCUCAUUAUGUUCGGAACACGGCAACCUUGGGUGGAAAUUUGGUGAUGGCGCAAAGGGACGAAUUUCCCUCUGAUAUUGCAACUAUUCUUCUUGCUGCUGGUUCGUCAGUGUGCAUCCAGGUAUCAUCAGGAAAAUUGAAUGUCACGUUGGAUGAGUUCCUGGAAAUGCCACCGUGUGAUUACAAGGCACUACUCUUAAGCAUUUCUGUUCCUCAUUGUACUCCUGACAAUGUCUCAUCAAGUGCUGGGGCUGUAAAUAUGACAGGAGAUAAGACAGAAAGUUCACUGCUAUUCGAGACAUACCGAGCUGCUCCGCGCCCUCUUGGAAAUGCAGUUGCUUACCUUAACUGCGCUUUCUUUGCUCAAAUCUCCUCAGAUGAAAGUUCAGGAAGCUUAAUACUGGAAAAACUACAUUUAGCUUUUGGUGCAUUUGGAACCCGACAUGCUAUCAGGGCUAGAGACGUUGAGAAGUACUUAGUUGGUAAACCCAUUAGUGCAUCAGUCCUGCUUGAAGCAUGCAACGUUCUUAAGAAAAUCAUUGUUCCAAAAGAAGGCACAACACAUUCUGCUUACAGAUCAAGCUUGGCAGUUGCCUUUCUGUUUACUUUUCUUUACCCGAUGACCAAACGCAAUGUGAAGCCUGCAAGAUCAGCUCGUCUAAAUGGCCAUGCUGCUUCUGAUACCAAUGGAAAUCCAAAUUGUCCACCCAGUGCAGAUAUUGACUUGUCACUUAAGGAGACCAAUAGUGUGGAAUCUGGUCUGCAUAGCAAUGACCACAUACUUGAAUCUUGCAAGCAGAUAGUUGAAAUCAGUAAAGAUUAUCUCCCAGUUGGCAUACCAGCCAAGAAAGUUGGAGCAGAACUCCAAGCCUCUGGUGAGGCUGUAUAUGUGGAUGACAUCCCUUCUCCAGAGGGCUGCCUUUAUGGAGCAUUUGUAUAUAGUACAAAGCCUUUAGCUCAUGUGAAUAGCAUAGAGCUCGACCCUUCUCUCGAGCAGGUGAAAACUGUGGCAGUUAUCACUGUUAAGGAUAUUCCAGAGGGGGGUGGCAAUUUUGGGGCCAACACUAUAUUUGGACCUGAACCUCUGUUUGGCGAUCCACUUACUCAGUGUGCUGGGGAACCUCUUGGUAUCGUGGUUGCAGAAACACGGAAUUUUGCCAAUAUAGCUGCCAAACGAGCUGUAGUCAACUACAGCACAGAAACUUUAGAUAGCCCAGUUUUAUCGAUAGAGGAGGCAGUUAGAAGAUGCAGUUACUUUGAAACCCCACCAUUUCUUCUUCCGCAAAAUAUUGGUGAUUUUUCCAAAGAGAUGGAAGAAGCCGAUCAGAAGAUCUACUCAGCUGAGGUGAAGCUUAACUCACAAUAUUACUUUUACAUGGAAACACAAACUGCUCUAGCCAUACCUGAUGAGGAUAAUUGCAUGGUAGUGUAUAGCUCAAGUCAGUGCCCUGAGGCAGCACAAAAUAACAUUGCAAGAUGCCUCGGUUUACCUUGUCACAAUGUUCGUGUUAUCACUAGAAGAGUUGGUGGUGGCUUCGGAGGAAAAGCUGUUAGAUCAUUACCAGUGGCGACGGCCUGUGCACUUGCAGCAUUUAAGUUGCAUCGUCCUGUUCGAAUGUAUCUUGAUCGCAAGACUGACAUGAUAAUGACUGGCGGCCGGCAUCCCAUGAAAAUAUGCUAUUCAAUAGGAUUCAAAUCAGAUGGGAAGGUCACAGGAUUGCAUGUAGAUUUGUUCAUAAAUGCAGGAAUGACCAUGGAUGUUAGCCCAAUUAUUCCUCAUAAUUUCAUAGAGGCACUGAAGAAAUAUAAUUGGGGUGCCUUUUCAUAUGAUGCAAAGAUUUGCAAAACAAACAUUUCAACACGGUCUGCAAUGCGGGGCCCUGGAGAAGUGCAAGGUUCUUAUGUUGCUGAAGCUAUUAUUGAGCAUGUGGCGUCAGUUCUCUCUACUGAUGCUAAUUUGGUAAGGCAGAGAAAUAUUCACACAGUGGAGAGCCUUGCUUUGUUUCACAGUGAGUGCCUGGAAAAUGCCUUGGGGUAUACACUUCCCUCUAUCUGUAAUCAGUUGACUGCAUCAGCAAAUUACCAAUAUCGUUCAGAAAUAAUCCAGACCUUUAACAAAACCAGCCAGUGGAAAAAGAGGGGACUUUCUUUUGUUCCGAUAGUGCAUAAAGUGUUAUCUCGACCGACACCUGGAAAGGUGUCUAUUCUUAACGAUGGAUCCAUUGUUGUUGAAGUUGGAGGCAUUGAGUUAGGCCAGGGGCUUUGGACAAAAGUGAAGCAGAUGGCAGCAUUUGGUCUUGGACAGUUGUGGGCUGAUCGAAGCCAAGACCUGUUGGAAAGAGUAAGAGUUAUUCAAGCAGACACGUUAAGUGUGGUACAGGGAGGGUGGACCACAGGGAGUACCACAUCAGAAUGCAGCUGUGAGGCAGUUCGACUUGCCUGCAAUAUCAUGGUUGACAGGCUGAAAUCACUCAAGGAGCAAUUGCAAGAAAAGCAUGGCAAGGUUUCAUGGGAUGGACUAAUUUCACAGGCAAAAAUGGCUGGUGUGGAUUUGUCAGCAAGAGAAUAUUACAUUCCUGGGGCUUCUGGUUCAUACCUAAACUACGGAGCUGCUGCUAGUGAGGUAGAGAUUGAUCUUCUCACGGGAGCAACUACAGUUUUGCGCAGUGAUCUUAUAUAUGACUGUGGCCAGAGCUUAAAUCCUGCUGUGGACAUGGGGCAGGUGGAAGGGGCCUUUGUUCAGGGAAUUGGUUAUUUCAUGAGUGAGGAAUAUGUGACCAAUACGGAUGGGCUGGUUGUCUCGGACGGGACUUGGACAUACAAGAUCCCAACCGUGGACACCAUCCCUAAACAGUUUAAUGUUGAGCUGCGCAACAGUGGAUUUCACAAGAAGAGAGUGCUGUCUUCAAAAGCAUCUGGGGAGCCGCCUUUGCUCCUUGCAGCUUCAGUUCACUGCGCAACAAGGGAUGCAAUUGCCGCAGCACGGAAGGAACUCCACUGUUGUGGGUCUGGAUCGUCUUCACCUUCGUUCUUUGAGUUGGAAGUUCCGGCAAUCAUGCCUGUGGUGAAGGAGCUGUGUGGCUUGGACAAUGUGGAGAAGUAUUUGGAAACUCUAGUGGGUUCCAAAUAAAUACAGACGAAUUUCACAUUUGGCAAAGUAAAUUAUAAUGAUAGCAUUAUAAGGUAUACUUCUUGCAUAGUACUCUGGGCAUACUAGAAGGUACUGUGUGAUCCACUUGUUAACGCAUGCACCAUUCGACUAUAACAGAAUUUUGUUUGGUUGUGCCACAUUUGUUCGAUAAUUUCAUUCAGGUACGGACUUACAGUACAUAGUUCUUAGGUAACAUUUUGUACUAGACUGAUGGAUGGAUACAGGUAUUUGUGACUCAAAUAGGCAAAACGAUGAGAGUAAACAAAUGGAAGAUGUAUACUUGGAGCAUGAUGAGACAUGGUCAUGGGACCUCCCUAUUUGUGUAAUGUAAUGUGAUUCAUAGUUUGAUAAUGUUUUUUUUUCAGAAAAAGCAAGGUUAUAAUGUACUCCCUCCGUCCGGAAAUACUUGUCAUUGAAAUGGAUGUAUCUAGAUGUAUUUUAGUUCUAGAUACAUCCAUUUUGGUGACAAGUAAUUCUGGACGGAGGGAGUAGUACCUUUCGGUUUACCAUCCGUGGAUGCUCCGUUCUUAAAUAUAAGAUGUUUUGGUAGUUGAAAUUGAACUGCCAGAACAGAGGGACUAUAAUGUUAUUUAGGAACAGGG
rnacentral:rRNA from 1 species